AAUUCGCCCUUAGAGUUUGAUCCUGGCUCAGAUUGAACGCUGGCGGCAUGCCUUACACAUGCAAGUCGAACGGCAGCGCGGACUUCGGUCUGGCGGCGAGUGGCGAACGGGUGAGUAAUACAUCGGAACGUACCCUGUUGUGGGGGAUAACUAGUCGAAAGAUUAGCUAAUACCGCAUACGACCUGAGGGUGAAAGUGGGGGACCGCAAGGCCUCACGCAGCAGGAGCGGCCGAUGUCUGAUUAGCUAGUUGGUGGGGUAAAGGCCCACCAAGGCGACGAUCAGUAGCUGGUCUGAGAGGACGAUCAGCCACACUGGGACUGAGACACGGCCCAGACUCCUAUGGGAGGCAGCAGUGGGGAAUUUUGGACAAUGGGGGCAACCCUGAUCCAGCAAUGCCGCGUGUGUGAAGAAGGCCUUCGGGUUGUAAAGCACUUUUGUCCGGAAAGAAAUCGCGCUGGUUAAUACCUGGCGU
rnacentral:rRNA from 1 species